rnacentral:rRNA from 1 species
UGGCAGAGGUUACUGCUAUCGAGGUUCGACUAAGCCAUGCGAGUCGAAUGUAGCAAUACAUGGCGAACUGCUCAGUAACACGUGGACAACCUGCCCUUAGGUUGGGUAUAAACCCGGGAAACUGGGUAUAAUACCCGAUAGGUCUCGAUUGCUGGAAUGCAUCGAGAUUUAAAGCUCCGGCGCCUAAGGACGGGUCUGCGGCCUAUCAGGUAGUAGUGGGUGUAGCGUACCUACUAGCCUACGACGGGUACGGGUUGUGAGAGCAAGAGCCCGGAGAUGGAUUCUGAGACACGAAUCCAGGCCCUACGGGGUGCAGCAGGCGCGAAAACUUUACAAUGCUGGCAACAGCGAUAAGGGAACCUCGAGUGCCAGGUUACAAAUCUGGCUGUCGAGAUGCCUAAAAAGCAUUUCAUAGCAAGGGCCGGGCAAGACCGGUGCCAGCCGCCGCGGUAACACCGGCGGCUCGAGUGGUAACCGUUAUUAUUGGGUCUAAAGGGUCUGUAGCCGGCCGGAUAAGUCUCUUGAGAAAUCUGGCAGCUUAACUGUCAGGCUUUCAGGAGAUACUGUCUGGCUCGAGGCCGGGAGAGGUGAGAGGUACUUCAGGGGUAGGGGUGAAAUCUUGUAAUCCUUGAAGGACCACCAGUGGCGAAGGCGUCUCACCAGAACGGACCUGACGGCAAGGGACGAAAGCUAGGGGCACGAACCGGAUUAGAUACCCGGGUAGUCCUAGCCGUAAACGAUACUCGCUAGGUGUCGGCCACGGUGCGACCGUUGUCGGUGCCGUAGGGAAGCCGUGAAGCGAGCCACCUGGGAAGUACGGCCGCAAGGCUGAAACUUAA